rnacentral:rRNA from 1 species
UUCCGGUUGAUCCGCCGCCGGCCACUGCUAUCAGGUUUCGAUUAAGCCAUGCGAGUCAAGGGGUCGUAAGACACCGGCAUACCGCUCAGUAACACGCGGAUAAUCUGCCCCCAGGUGAGGGAUAACUUCGGGAAACUGAGGCUAAUACCUUAUAGUCACUUUAUGCUGGAAUGCUUAGGUGAUGAAAGUUCCGACGCCUGAGGAUGAGUCUGCGGCCUAUCAGGUAGUAUGUGGUGUAAAGGACCACAUAGCCGAGGACGGGUACGGGCCCUGAAAGGGGGAGCCCGGAGAUGGACUCUGAGACAUUAGUCCAGGCCCUACGGGGCGCAGCAGGCGCGAAAACUGUGCAAUGCGCGAAAGCGCGACACGGGAAACCUGAGUGCCUUGACUUUUGUCAAGGCUUUUCUUAGGCCUAAAAAGCCUAAGGAAUAAGAGCUGGGUAAGACGGGUGCCAGCCGCCGCGGUAACACCCGCAGCUCGAGUGGUGGUCACUUUUAUUGAGCCUAAAGCGUUCGUAGCCGGCUCUGUAAAUCUUCAGACAAAUUCUUCUGCUUAACGGAAGAUCCUCUGGAGAGACUGCAGAGCUAGGGACCGGGUGAGGUUGAAGGUACUUCUGGGGUAGGGGUAAAAUCCUGUAAUCCUGGAAGGACGACCGGUGGCGAAGGCGUUCAACUAGAACGGAUCCGACGGUGAGGAACGAUGGCUAGGGGAGCAAACCGGAUUAGAUACCCGGGUAGUCCUAGCUGUAAACACUGCCCACUUGGUGUUGCUUCUCCGAUUAAGGGGGAGCAGUGCCGGAGCGAAGGUGUUAAGUGGGCCGCUUGGGGAGUAUGGUCGCAAGGCUGAAACUUAAAGGAAUUGGCGGGGGAGCACCGCAACGGGAGGAGCGUGCGGUUUAAUUGGAUUCAACGCCGGAA